rnacentral:rRNA from 1 species
CCUACGGGAGGCAGCAGUGGGGAAUAUUGGGCAAUGGAGGAAACUCUGACCCAGCAACGCCGCGUGAAGGAUGAAGGUUUUCGGAUUGUAAACUUCUGUCGCGAGGGAUGAAGAAUGACGGUACCUCGUAAGAAAGCCCCGGCAAACUACGUGCCAGCAGCCGCGGUAAUACGUAGGGGGCGAGCGUUGUCCGGAAUGACUGGGCGUAAAGGGAGUGUAGGCGGCAUAUUAAGUUAUGUGUGAAAGCCCGCGGCUCAACCGCGGAAUUGCACAUAAAACUGGUAAGCUGGAGUGUGGGAGAGGUAGGUGGAAUUCUUGGUGUAGGGGUAAAAUCCGUAGAGAUCAAGAGGAAUACUCAUUGCGAAGGCGACCUGCUGGAACAUUACUGACGCUGAUGCACGAAAGCGUGGGGAGCAAACAGGAUUAGAUACCCUGGUAGUC